CGGACGGGUGAGUAACGCGUGGGCAACCUGCCUUACACAGGGGGACAACAGCUGGAAACGGCUGCUAAUACCGCAUAAGCGCACGGUCUCGCAUGAGACAGUGUGAAAAACUCCGGUGGUGUAAGAUGGGCCCGCGUCUGAUUAGCUGGUUGGUGGGGUAACGGCCUACCAAGGCGACGAUCAGUAGCCGACCUGAGAGGGUGACCGGCCACAUUGGGACUGAGACACGGCCCAAACUCCUACGGAAGGCAGCAG
rnacentral:rRNA from 1 species